rnacentral:sRNA from 1 species
UCCUGAAGUACGGGGCCUUCGUCCCUCCUGAGCUCUUCGGCUCCGAGUUCUUCAUGGGACGGCUGAUGAGGAGGAUCCCGGAGCCCCGGAUCUGCUUUCUGGAAGCCAUCUGGAGCAACAUUUUCUCCCUGAACCUGCUGGAUGCCUGGUAUGACCUCACCAGUUCUGGGGAGUCCUGGAAACAGCACAUCAAGGACAAGACCAGGAGCUUAGAGAAGGAGCCCCUGACCACCUCGGGGACCUCCUCGCGGCUGGAGGCCUCGUGGCUGCAGCCAGGCACGGCGCUGGCCCAGGCAUUUAAAGGCUUCCUGACAGGCAGGCCCCUCCACCAGCGCAGCCCCAACUUCCUCCAGGGCCUCCAGCUGCACCAGGACUACUGUAGCCACAAAGACUUCUCCACCUGGGCAGACUGCCAGCUUGACUCCAUGCCCAGCCAGCUGACCCCCCAGGAGCCCCGGCUCUGCCUGGUGGACGCCGGCUACUUCAUCAACACCAGCUCUCCCUCCAUGUUCCGGCCAGGCCGCAGGCUGGACCUCAUCCUCUCCUUCGACUACUCCCUAUCUGCGCCCUUCGAGGUACCCUGGUCACCCCAGGGGAACCCCUCUGCCCAGCCAGGCCAAGCUCCAGAGGCGAGCAGCAGGGCCACUGAGCCCCUGCCCCACACCGCCCGGGUCCCGAAGGGAAGGAGAGGUGUCAGGCCUUGAUCUGCUGGCUCCUGCCAGGGUCCUUAGGUGGGAAGGCUGGGGUGGUGCAGGGGCCUUGGGCUCCCAGGACAGGUGAACAGGGAGGGACCUCCCCACACCUACUCCAAAGAACAGCUGGACGGAGCUGAGAGGAGACCCUAGCAUCUCCAUGUCCAUCCCCCAGACCUCCCCUGAGACGCUGUGCCAAUGUGGGUCCCCUCUCGGCUCUGGGAUUUGAACAGUCCAGCAAUAGCAAUCCAGAAUUGGGGUUUUGGGGGGCUGGGGGGUGGGUCUGACCCCACCUAGAGCUUUUAACCAAACAACAUUGCACACCACCAGAGUCCUUGGACUCCCCCUGGGUCUCCCUCCGAGUCACUCUGCAGCUUGGCCCGACCACAAACAGGACAGAGCCAGGCUGUUGUCUUGACACUGAAGCAGCUGGUGUGGGCUGGAACUGGCCCAGCAUUGACCUGGGCCGGGCUGGUUCUCUCCGGGCCACCUUCUCCCCACCAGGCACUGCAGCAGACGGAGCUGUACUGCCGGGCCCGGGGGCUGCCCUUCCCCCGGGUGGAACCCAGCCCUCAGGACCAGCACCAGCCAAGGGAGUGCCACCUCUUCUCAGACCCCGCCUGCCCCGAGGCCCCGAUCCUGCUGCACUUCCCACUGGUCAAUGCCUCCUUCAAGGACCACUCAGCCCCCGGUGUCCAGCGCAGCCCCGCAGAGCUCCAGGGUGGCCAAGUGGAUCUCACCGGGGCCACCUGCCCCUACACCCUGUCCAACAUGACCUACAAGGAGGAAGACUUCGAGCACCUGCUGCGGCUCAGUGACUACAACGUGCAGACCAGCGAGGGUGCCAUCCUGCAGGCCCUGAGGACCGCGCUGAAGCACCGGACUCUAGAGGCGAGGCCUCCAAGGGCACAGACCUGAGGUUGCUCAGAGGCUGCAGGACCCUCCAGGGCCUGCAGGCAUAACCUGAUCUGUAGCUGGCCUCAGCCACAGGCCCUCCUGGUUGGAGUUCUGGGCUCUCCCAGGCCUGGGUGGCCUCUGUAGCUGGUCUCACUGCCCAGAGGGAACUGCACACACAGACUUCUCUCUUACGUUCAUGGCUGGCUUGAGAUGAGUUGAAAAUAACUUCGCCAGGCCAGUGUGUAGAACAGCUGGUCCAACCAGACAGACUUUCACACCACAAUUACUUCCAUGCCUGAGCAGGAUAGAUUUGAAGUGCAAGCCGGAGGCAGCAGAUCAGGAGUAGGGACAGGAAGGACAGGGGAUGCCUGACCUGACAGGUGGCUUCAGGCCUCAGGAAUCACAAGACAUCCUGAACACAUUGCCUCCUCAUCUUCUUCCUGCUCCUCCACCUCCUCCUCUCCUUGUCCUUCUCCUCUUUGUCCUCCUGCUUUCCGUAUCCAAGUCUUGUACUUGUUUAAAUUUAUUCCUAAAUAUUUUAUUCUUUUCGAUAAGCGGAGUUACUUUCUUAAUUUCAUUUAGAUUAUUCAUUGCUAUUUUAUAGAAAUACAAUGGAUUUUUAAAUGUUGAUCUUGUAUUCCGCAAUCUUGCUGAAGUUGUUUACCGGCUCUAAUACUUUUGCGGAUUUCUUAGAAUUUUCUGUAGACAGAUCAUGCCAUCUCCAAAUAGAGAUGGUUUUACUUCUUCCUGUCUGAUCUGAAUGCCUUUUAUUUAUUUUUCCCAAUUGCCCUGAGCAGUACAAUGAUGAACACACGUUUCAAGAGCAGACAUCUUGUCUUGUUCCUGACUCUGACAAGAAAGCAUAAGUCUCUCACCAUUUAGUGUGAUUUUAGCUGUGGGUUUUUCUUGGACAUCCUUAUCAGGUUGAGAAAGUUCUCUUUUAUUUCUAGUUUAUUGACUGUUUUAUGAUGAAAGGGUGUUAGGUUUUGUCAAGUGAUUUUUCUGUGUCUAUGGGCAUGAUCAUGUGGUUUUGUCGUGUAUUUUAUUAAUGUACUCUAUUGCAUUAAUUGGUUUUUGGAUAUUAAACCAACUUUGCAUUCCUGGGGCAGUUUCCAUUUGAUUAUGGUAUAUAAACCUUUUUGUUUAUUGCUGGCACAUUUCUUUUUCUUUCUUUUUUUUUUUUUUUUUUUGAGACAGACUCUCAUCACACUCUGUCACCCAGGCCAAGUUCAAUGGUGCAAUCUGGCUCACUGCAUCCUCAACUUCCUGGGCUCAAGUGAUCCUUCCACUUCAGCCUCCCAAGUAGCUGGGACUACAGGCAUGUAACACCAUACUUGGCUAAAUUUAAAAAAUGGUUUUUUGUAGAGAUGAGGUCUCACCAUGUUGCCCAGGCUGGUCUUGAACUCCUGAACUCAAGUCAUCCUCCUGCCUCAGCCUCCCAAAGUGCUGGGAUUACUGGUGUGAGCCACCACGGCCAGCUGCUAGCACAUUUCUUACCUCCCUCAUGCAAGGGUGCGUGCACGCAUACAUACACACACACACCUGGCCCCAGGUGGGGGUUGCAGUGAGAGCUUCGGGACAGACCUUGGCUCAGGGACUGCCCUCAUCUGAUGUCCCCUCUCAGCUUCCUUCCCUGUGCCUCUUCUGCAUUUGGCUUUAUUUUGAUUCUUCACUUUUUCCCUUUAUCAUGGACUCUUAUUUUUUUAACAGUGAUAUGGGAAUUGA